AGAGUUUGAUCCUGGCUCAGGAUGAACGCUGGCGGCGUGCCUAAUACAUGCAAGUCGAGCGAACGGACGAGAAGCUUGCUUCUCUGAUGUUAGCGGCGGACGGGUGAGUAACACGUGGAUAACCUACCUAUAAGACUGGGAUAACUUCGGGAAACCGGAGCUAAUACCGGAUAAUAUUUUGAACCGCAUGGUUCAAAAGUGAAAGACGGUCUUGCUGUCACUUAUAGAUGGAUCCGCGCUGCAUUAGCUAGUUGGUAAGGUAAUGGCUUACCAAGGCAACGAUGCAUAGCCGACCUGAGAGGGUGAUCGGCCACACUGGAACUGAGACACGGUCCAGACUCCUACGGGAGGCAGCAGUAGGGAAUCUUCCGCAAUGGGCGAAAGCCUGACGGAGCAACGCCGCGUGAGUGAUGAAGGUCUUCGGAUCGUAAAACUCUGUUAUUAGGGAAGAACAUAUGUGUAAGUAACUGUGCACAUCUUGACGGUACCUAAUCAGAAAGCCACGGCUAACUACGUGCCAGCAGCCGCGGUAAUACGUAGGUGGCAAGCGUUAUCCGGAAUUAUUGGGCGUAAAGCGCGCGUAGGCGGUUUUUUAAGUCUGAUGUGAAAGCCCACGGCUCAACCGUGGAGGGUCAUUGGAAACUGGAAAACUUGAGUGCAGAAGAGGAAAGUGGAAUUCCAUGUGUAGCGGUGAAAUGCGCAGAGAUAUGGAGGAACACCAGUGGCGAAGGCGACUUUCUGGUCUGUAACUGACGCUGAUGUGCGAAAGCGUGGGGAUCAAACAGGAUUAGAUACCCUGGUAGUCCACGCCGUAAACGAUGAGUGCUAAGUGUUAGGGGGUUUCCGCCCCUUAGUGCUGCAGCUAACGCAUUAAGCACUCCGCCUGGGGAGUACGACCGCAAGGUUGAAACUCAAAGGAAUUGACGGGGACCCGCACAAGCGGUGGAGCAUGUGGUUUAAUUCGAAGCAACGCGAAGAACCUUACCAAAUCUUGACAUCCUUUGACAACUCUAGAGAUAGAGCCUUCCCCUUCGGGGGACAAAGUGACAGGUGGUGCAUGGUUGUCGUCAGCUCGUGUCGUGAGAUGUUGGGUUAAGUCCCGCAACGAGCGCAACCCUUAAGCUUAGUUGCCAUCAUUAAGUUGGGCACUCUAAGUUGACUGCCGGUGACAAACCGGAGGAAGGUGGGGAUGACGUCAAAUCAUCAUGCCCCUUAUGAUUUGGGCUACACACGUGCUACAAUGGACAAUACAAAGGGCAGCGAAACCGCGAGGUCAAGCAAAUCCCAUAAAGUUGUUCUCAGUUCGGAUUGUAGUCUGCAACUCGACUACAUGAAGCUGGAAUCGCUAGUAAUCGUAGAUCAGCAUGCUACGGUGAAUACGUUCCCGGGUCUUGUACACACCGCCCGUCACACCACGAGAGUUUGUAACACCCGAAGCCGGUGGAGUAACCUUUUAGGAGCUAGCCGUCGAAGGUGGGACAAAUGAUUGGGGUGAAGUCGUAACAAGGUAGCCGUAUCGGAAGGUGCGGCUGGAUCACCU
rnacentral:rRNA from 1 species